rnacentral:rRNA from 1 species
GUGAAACCGCGAAUGGCUCAUUAUAACAGCUAUAAUUUACUUGAUCUUGACACAAUCCUACUUGGAUAACUGUGGUAAUUCUAGAGCUAAUACAUGCAUUAAAGCUCUGACCUCACGGGAAGAGUGCAUUUAUUAGAACAAAACCAAGCGGCUUCGGCUGUUUCUGGUUGACUCAUAGUAACUGAGCUGAUCGCAUGGUCUUGCACCGGCGACGUGUCUUUCAAGUAUCUGCCGUAUCAACUUUCGAUGGUAGUGUAUCUGACUACCAUGGUGAUCACGCGUAACGGAGAAUAAGGGUUCGGCUCCGGAGAGUUCGCCUGAGAAAUCGCGAACACAUCUAAGGAAGGCAGCAGGCGCGAAAAUUACCCACUCUCAGCACGAGGAGGUAGUGACGAAAAAUAACGAGACCGUUCUCUUAUGAGGCCGGUCAUCGGAAUGGGUACAAUUUAAACCCUUUAACGAGUAUCUAUGAGAGGGCAAGUCUGGUGCCAGCAGCCGCGGUAAUUCCAGCUCUCAAAGUG